UACAGAGGGUGCGAGCGUUAAUCGGAAUUACUGGGCGUAAAGCGUGCGUAGACGGUUAUUUAAGUCGGGUGUGAAAGCCCCGGGCUCAACCUGGGAAUUGCAUUCGAGACUGAAUAGCUAGGGUACGGUAGAGGGAAGCGGAAUUUCCGGUGUAGCGGUGAAAUGCGUAGAUAUCGGAAGGAACAUCAGUGGCGAAAGCGGCUUCCUGGACCAGUACCGACGUCAGGCACGAAAGCGUGGGGAGCAAAGCAGG
rnacentral:rRNA from 1 species